AUGCAAGUCGAGCGGGGGAAGGUAGCUUGCUACUGGACCUAGCGGCGGACGGGUGAGUAAUGCUUAGGAAUCUGCCUAUUAGUGGGGGACAACAUCUCGAAAGGGAUGCUAAUACCGCAUACGUCCUACGGGAGAAAGCAGGGGAUCUUCGGACCUUGCGCUAAUAGAUGAGCCUAAGUCGGAUUAGCUAGUUGGUGGGGUAAAGGCCUACCAAGGCGACGAUCUGUAGCGGGUCUGAGAGGAUGAUCCGCCACACUGGGACUGAGACACGGCCCAGACUCCUACGGGAGGCAGCAGUGGGGAAUAUUGGACAAUGGGGGGAACCCUGAUCCAGCCAUGCCGCGUGUGUGAAGAAGGCCUUAUGGUUGUAAAGCACUUUAAGCGAGGAGGAGGCUACUUUAGUUAAUACCUAGAGAUAGUGGACGUUACUCGCAGAAUAAGCACCGGCUAACUCUGUGCCAGCAGCCGCGGUAAUACAGAGGGUGCGAGCGUUAAUCGGAUUUACUGGGCGUAAAGCGUGCGUAGGCGGCUUAUUAAGUCGGAUGUGAAAUCCCCGAGCUUAACUUGGGAAUUGCAUUCGAUACUGGUGAGCUAGAGUAUGGGAGAGGAUGGUAGAAUUCCAGGUGUAGCGGUG
rnacentral:rRNA from 1 species